rnacentral:tRNA from 1 species
GCGCAGGUGACAGAGCGGUCAAUUGUAUCAGACUGUAAAUCUGACGCCUAUCGGCUACGGAGGUUCGAAUCCUCCCCUGCGCA